rnacentral:rRNA from 1 species
GACGAACGCUGGCGGCGUGCUUAACACAUGCAGGUCGAACGGAAAGGCCUGCUUUCCCUUGUGGAUUGCGGGUGCUCGAGUGGCGAACGGGUGAGUAACACGUGAGUGAUCUGCCCCCAACUUGGGUAUAAGCCUGGGAAACUGGGUCUAAUUCCCGAUAGGACUGCAGGGUGGUGCCUGUGGUGGAAAACGAUUUUCUAGUGGUUGGGGAUGAGCUCGCGGCCUAUCAGCUUGUUGGUGGGGUAAUGGCCUACCAAGGCGGCGACGGGUAGCCGGCCUGAGAGGGUGGACGGCCACAUUGGGACUGAGAUACGGCCCAGACUCCUACGGGAGGCAGCAGUGGGGAAUAUUGCACAAUGGGCGGAAGCCUGAUGCAGCGACGCCGCGUGGGGGAUGACGGCCUUCGGGUGGUAAACUCCUUUCGACCGCGAGGAAGCCACCUGGUUGGAAGGGUGGUGACGGUAGUGGUAGAAGAAGCACCGGCUAACUACGUG